AAAUGACUCAUCCAAGGUCACACAGGAUAUGGCAAAAUAGCCCAGGAUGAGGAAUGUGAGUUUAUACAGAAGAGGGAAGGGAGUCCUGAGGAGGCUGCUCUGGGAACCAGACCAUCCGCACCGGACAGAGUCCAACUCCCUCAUCUUACCGAUGGCCAGACCCAGACCAGAGGGGUCAGACAACCUGCCCGGAUCACCCAGAGUGUUUUUUUUUUUAAUAGUGUGUUUAAAUGAAGAGAGUACGGAUUUGAAGGACCCUUGGCUUAAACAGAGCAAGUAGGAACCCACCUGCCAGGCUGCCCAGAUUCCUGGGUUCUGCCACCAGCUCUCAGGGGCCACCGUGGAAGUGGCACCUGGAGCCAGUGGCACCUGGAGACCCUAGAUGUGUCUCUGCAGACAGCCAGCCGGCCUCAGGGAGGCAGAUGAGCUGACGGCUCUGGCUUCUGCUGUAAGAGAAGAGCAAGCAGCUCCCUGGGGAGCCCCAACUGCCCC